rnacentral:rRNA from 1 species
UGUGAGCUCGAUGAGUAGGGCGGGACACGUGGUAUCCUGUCUGAAUAUGGGGGGACCAUCCUCCAAGGCUAAAUACUCCUGACUGACCGAUAGUGAACCAGUACCGUGAGGGAAAGGCGAAAAGAACCCCGGCGAGGGGAGUGAAAAAGAACCUGAAACCGUGUACGUACAAGCAGUGGGAGCACGCUUAGGCGUGUGACUGCGUACCUUUUGUAUAAUGGGUCAGCGACUUAUAUUCUGUAGCAAGGUUAACCGAAUAGGGGAGCCGAAGGGAAACCGAGUCUUAACUGGGCGUUAAGUUGCAGGGUAUAGACCCGAAACCCGGUGAUCUAGCCAUGGGCAGGUUGAAGGUUGGGUAACACUAACUGGAGGACCGAACCGACUAAUGUUGAAAAAUUAGCGGAUGACUUGUGGCUGGGGGUGAAAGGCCAAUCAAACCGGGAGAUAGCUGGUUCUCCCCGAAAGCUAUUUAGGUAGCGCCUCGUGAAUUCAUCUCCGGGGGUAGAGCACUGUUUCGGCAAGGGGGUCAUCCCGACUUACCAACCCGAUGCAAACUGCGAAUACCGGAGAAUGUUAUCACGGGAGACACACGGCGGGUGCUAACGUCCGUCGUGAAGAGGGAAACAACCCAGACCGCCAGCUAAGGUCCCAAAGUCAUGGUUAAGUGGGAAACGAUGUGGGAAGGCCCAGACAGCCAGGAUGUUGGCUUAGAAGCAGCCAUCAUUUAAAGAAAGCGUAAUAGCUCACUGGUCGAGUCGGCCUGCGCGGAAGAUGUAACGGGGCUAAACCAUGCACCGAAGCUGCGGCAGCGACGCUGAUGCGUUGUUGGGUAGGGGAGCGUUCUGUAAGCCUGCGAAGGUGUGCUGUGAGGCAUGCUGGAGGUAUCAGAAGUGCGAAUGCUGACAUAAGUAACGAUAAAGCGGGUGAAAAGCCCGCUCGCCGGAAGACCAAGGGUUCCUGUCCAACGUUAAUCGGGGCAGGGUGAGUCGACCCCUAAGGCGAGGCCGAAAGGCGUAGUCGAUGGGAAACAGGUUAAUAUUCCUGUACUUGGUGUUACUGCGAAGGGGGGACGGAGAAGGCUAUGUUGGCCGGGCGACGGUUGUCCCGGUUUAAGCGUGUAGGCUGGUUUUCCAGGCAAAUCCGGAAAAUCAAGGCUGAGGCGUGAUGACGAGGCACUACGGUGCUGAAGCAACAAAUGCCCUGCUUCCAGGAAAAGCCUCUAAGCAUCAGGUAACAUCAAAUCGUACCCCAAACCGACACAGGUGGUCAGGUAGAGAAUACCAAGGCGCUUGAGAGAACUCGGGUGAAGGAACUAGGCAAAAUGGUGCCGUAACUUCGGGAGAAGGCACGCUGAUAUGUAGGUGAAGCGACUUGCUCGUGGAGCUGAAAUCAGUCGAAGAUACCAGCUGGCUGCAACUGUUUAUUAAAAACACAGCACUGUGCAAACACGAAAGUGGACGUAUACGGUGUGACGCCUGCCCGGUGCCGGAAGGUUAAUUGAUGGGGUCAGCGCAAGCGAAGCUCUUGAUCGAAGCCCCGGUAAACGGCGGCCGUAACUAUAACGGUCCUAAGGUAGCGAAAUUCCUUGUCGGGUAAGUUCCGACCUGCACGAAUGGCGUAAUGAUGGCCAGGCUGUCUCCACCCGAGACUCAGUGAAAUUGAACUCGCUGUGAAGAUGCAGUGUACCCGCGGCAAGACGGAAAGACCCCGUGAACCUUUACUAUAGCUUGACACUGAACAUUGAGCCUUGAUGUGUAGGAUAGGUGGGAGGCUUAGAAGUGUGGACGCCAGUCUGCAUGGAGCCGACCUUGAAAUACCACCCUUUAAUGUUUGAUGUUCUAACGUUGACCCGUAAUCCGGGUUGCGGACAGUGUCUGGUGGGUAGUUUGACUGGGGCGGUCUCCUCCUAAAGAGUAACGGAGGAGCACGAAGGUUGGCUAAUCCUGGUCGGACAUCAGGAGGUUAGUGCAAUGGCAUAAGCCAGCUUGACUGCGAGCGUGACGGCGCGAGCAGGUGCGAAAGCAGGUCAUAGUGAUCCGGUGGUUCUGAAUGGAAGGGCCAUCGCUCAACGGAUAAAAGGUACUCCGGGGAUAACAGGCUGAUACCGCCCAAGAGUUCAUAUCGACGGCGGUGUUUGGCACCUCGAUGUCGGCUCAUCACAUCCUGGGGCUGAAGUAGGUCCCAAGGGUAUGGCUGUUCGCCAUUUAAAGUGGUACGCGAGCUGGGUUUAGAACGUCGUGAGACAGUUCGGUCCCUAUCUGCCGUGGGCGCUGGAGAACUGAGGGGGGCUGCUCCUAGUACGAGAGGACCGGAGUGGACGCAUCACUGGUGUUCGGGUUGUCAUGCCAAUGGCACUGCCCGGUAGCUAAAUGCGGAAGAGAUAAGUGCUGAAAGCAUCUAAGCACGAAACUUGCCCCGAGAUGAGUUCUCCCUGACUCCUUGAGAGUCCUGAAGGAACGUUGAAGACGACGACGUUGAUAGGCCGGGUGUGUAAGCGCAGCGAUGCGUUGAGCUAACCGGUACUAAUGAACCGUGAGGCUUAACCUU